GUAGGCGGCAAGCGUUGUCCGGAAUUAUUGGGCGUAAAGCGCGCGCAGGCGGUUCUUUAAGUCUGAUGUGAAAGCCCACGGCUCAACCGUGGAGGGUCAUUGGAAACUGGAGAACUUGAGUACAGAAGAGGAAAGCGGAAUUCCACGUGUAGCGGUGAAAUGCGUAGAGAUGUGGAGGAACACCAGUGGCGAAGGCGGCUUUCUGGUCUGUAACUGACGCUGAGGCGCGAAAGCGUGGGGGAGCAAACAGGAUUAGAUACCCUGGUAGUCCACGCCGUAAACGAUGAGUGCUAAGUGUUAGGGGGUUUCCGCCCCUUAGUGCUGCAGCUAACGCAUUAAGCACUCCGCCUGGGAGUACGGCCGCAAGGCUG
rnacentral:rRNA from 1 species